AAAUAGAACCUGAAACCGUGUACGUACAAGCAGUAGGAGCACCUUCGUGGUGUGACUGCGUACCUUUUGUAUAAUGGGUCAGCGACUUAUAUUCAGUGGCAAGGUUAACCGUAUAGGGGAGCCGUAGCGAAAGCGAGUCUUAACUGGGCGCUCAGUCUCUGGAUAUAGACCCGAAACCGGGUGAUCUAGCCAUGGGCAGGUUGAAGGUUGAGUAACAUCAACUGGAGGACCGAACCGACUAAUGUUGAAAAAUUAGCGGAUGACUUGUGGCUAGGGGUGAAAGGCCAAUCAAACUCGGAGAUAGCUGGUUCUCCCCGAAAGCUAUUUAGGUAGCGCCUCGGACGAAUACUACUGGGGGUAGAGCACUGUUAAGGCUAGGGGGUCAUCCCGACUUACCAACCCUUUGCAAACUCCGAAUACCAGUAAGUACUAUCCGGGAGACACACGGCGGGUGCUAACGUCCGUCGUGGAGAGGGAAACAACCCAGACCGCCAGCUAAGGUCCCAAAGUAUUGCUAAGUGGGAAACGAUGUGGGAAGGCUCAGACAGCUAGGAUGUUGGCUUAGAAGCAGCCAUCAUUUAAAGAAAGCGUAAUAGCUCACUAGUCGAGUCGGCCUGCGCGGAAGAUGUAACGGGGCUAAGCA
rnacentral:rRNA from 1 species